rnacentral:rRNA from 1 species
UCAAAGGAAUUGACGGGGGCUCACACAAGCGGUGGAGCAUGUGGCUUAAUUCGAGGCAACGCGAAGAACCUUACCCGGGUUUGACAUGCACGAAUUAGCCCCGUGAAAGCGGGGUGACGCGGCUUGCCGUGGAACGUGCACAGGUGCUGCAUGGCUGUCGUCAGCUCGUGUCGUGAGAUGUUAGGUUAAGUCCUUCAACGAGCGAAACCCUUGUCGUUAGUUGCCAGCGGGUCAUGCCGGGCACUUUAGCGAGACUGCCGGUGUAAGCCGGAGGAAGGUGGGGACGACGUCAAGUCCUCAUGGCCCUUAUGCCCGGGGUUGCACACGUGCUACAAUGGGAUGGUACAGAGCGAUGCAAGACCGCGAGGUGGAGCAAACCGCAAAAAACAUCCCUCAGUUCGGAUUGCAGUCUGCAACUCGACUGCAUGAAGUUGGAAUCGCUAGUAAUCGCGUAUCAGCUACGACGCGGUGAAUAUGUUCCUGAGCCUUGUACACACCGCCCGUCAAGUCAUGGAAGCUGGGAGUACCCGAAGUCCGCUUAGCUAACCGCAAGGAGGCGGCGGCCGACGGUAAGCCCGGUGACUGGGACUAAGUCGUAACAAGGUAGCCGUAGGGGAACCUGCGGCUGGAUCACCUCCUUU